GGUGGGUUCUAGCGGUCCGCCUAUGGUGAGUACUGCUAUGGCCUAUCUUACUGCUGGGGACCUGCUCCUGGGCUUCAUUGUCCGGGACAGGGAGUCAGCAUGGUUACCUUGAGUAAAUUAGAGUGUUCAAAGCAGGCUUACGCCCUGAAUACUUUAGCAUGGAAUAACACGAUAGGACUCUGCUCUAUUGUGUUGGCCUGUAGAUGUGGAGUA
rnacentral:rRNA from 1 species